GAUGCAGUCCCGGGCACCAUCUUGGGACUGCUGCUGUAAGACCCCCUUUCGGGGACCCCCACUCUAGUAUUGGGAGUGAGAGAGCACUCAAAGAAACAUGAGAAUCC
rnacentral:pre_miRNA from 7 species